UUCAGUUGUGUCCCCUUCCCCCCACUUUCUCCAAGAGGUAUGUAGUCCUAAGUGAUUUGCUCAGCAUCACACACAGAUCACAACCCGGAGGACAUGCAGAAACAGUCUAUUGUCAAGCGGUUGCAGAACAAUGCAGCUCACUCGCAGAAAGCUGGGGCUUGGGCACGUCUCAAGUUCUAAUCAUUUAAUGUUUCCAAUGAUACAACAACAGACAAGGUUUAAGUACCUACAUGCAAGAGUCAAAUAGCCUCCUGGUGACAUGUUUAAAUUAAUAUGCAGCCAACUGCUCCAGAAAGCAAUGGCAAACAAAUAUUUAUUAGCUGUUCCA